CAGAUCCGUUGAAUUCCAAAGGGAGCAGCCGGAAGCCGUCCUCUGGCCCAGAGAAAGAGACGUGCUCAGUGAAGGGGCUCCCAUCAAAGGACGAGUGUGAGGAGAUGAUCAACAGUGCCCAAGUGUUCAUUAUUGGGAAGAACAAACUGGGAAACCCCGAGGAGCGAGAGGCCUACAUCCGUCAGGUGCGUGAGAUGCUGAUGGAACAGCUCCCCUGCAAGCACGUCCCGUCCAAGAGUGAACACGACAGUGGGGGAGGGAAUUGAGAAGGAAGGUGUCAGAUUGUGAUCUUCCAACGUGUCACAGGCUGAUGGACGGUGGUGACGUGUGUGAGGUGUUCGUGGGGUGUGGAGUGGGGCACCAG